rnacentral:lncRNA from 1 species
UGGAGAGUUCAUCAAUGAGCUUGACGCCUUGAUAAGUUCCUUUCCUGAAGAUGGCUCACCUCUCACAGUUCUGGAUGAAAUCUCGCGUCUUGUGACGGCCGGCCGCCCAACAACCUGCCCACUUGACCCUAUCCCCUCGUCUCUUCUCCAGACCAUUUCGGGAGACCUUCUCCCCUACCUCACCUCGCUCAUCAACUCAUCCUUGACCGCUGGCUACGUCCCUUCCGUCUUCAAGAGAGCGAGAGUUGCACCCCUUCUGAAAAAACCUACACUCGAUCCCUCCGAUGUCAACAACUACAGACCAACCUAUCUGCUGCCUUUGAUACUGUGAACCAUCAGAUCCUCCUCUCCACCCUCUCCGAGUUGGGCAUCUCCGGCGCGGCCCACGCUUGGAUUGCGUCCUACCUGAC